UACAGAGGGUGCAAGCGUUGUUCGGAAUUAUUGGGCGUAAAGGGCGUGUAGGCGGUCUGCUAAGUCAUGUGUGAAAUCCCUCGGCUUAACCGAGGAACGACGCAUGAAACUGGCAAGCUAGAGUACCAAAGAGGGGGGUGGAAUUCCCGGUGUAGCGGUGAAAUGCGUAGAUAUCUGGAGGAAUACCGGUGGCGAAGGCGGCAUCCUGGACCGAUAUUGACGCUGAGGAGCGAAAGCUAGGGGAGCAAACAGG
rnacentral:rRNA from 1 species